GAAACAGACAGUUUCAACAUAACAAAUUAUGGGGGGAAAUAUGAAGUAAGAAUGAAUGAGACGGCUGAAGGCAUAGAGCUGUGGUUUUUGUCAAAUAAAUCAAAAUGUGUGCAAGUCACAAAUCCAGUAUGCACUGUGACUAGCAACAGUAACACCACAACCCUCGUCCACACCCUCGUCUGCACCCUAAAUGGAAACUCACAUCCAGGGAAAGGAAGCAAUUAUGUUCUUCAUUUUAAUGGGAGUGAAUGGAUGUGUGUCAAAUCUGUUGAUAAAAGAUCAUCCACUGUUACACCACUGUCACACACCACCACUAACAAUCCAACUACCAGUUUCACAGCACCAGAGAUAACUUACAAUCCAACUAUUAGUUUCAAAUCACCGGUGACAAUCCAACUACCAACUACCAUUCUCCAAACAUCUGAGAUAAUUUACAAUCUAACUACAGAUGAUCUAAAAGACAAGGAUGGAUUUAUUAAUCCCUCAAA